CGAUCUAACUUCCGCAGUCCACCACUCUCUGGCUCAGACAAGCCCCACCCAGCGGUCACACACUCGUCCUGUCGUCCUGAGGUACAGGAGAGAACGGGAAUAAGGUGCUGAGACUUGAGGCUGGUGGAAUACGUGGCAGACACAGGCCGGUCUAUCACAGAAACCAGCCUCCGCUCCACAGACUCCGUCUACACUUCCUGCUGCCUCAGGGAAGCAGCCGACAUAAUGAAAGACCCCACCCACCCCGGACAUUCUCUCUUCUCCCCCCUCCCAUCGGGCAGAAGAUACAAAGGCUUGAGAACACGUACCACCAGGCUCAAGGGCAGCUUCUA